rnacentral:rRNA from 1 species
UACGGGGGGGGCAAGCGUUGUUCGGAAUUACUGGGCGUAAAGGGCUCGUAGGCGGCCAACUAAGUCAGACGUGAAAUCCCUCGGCUUAACCGGGGAACUGCGUCUGAUACUGGAUGGCUUGAGAUUGGGAGAGGGAUGCGGAAUUCCAGGUGUAGCGGUGAAAUGCGUAGAUAUCUGGAGGAACACCGAUGGCGAAGGCAGGUCUCUGGGCCACUACUGACGCUGAGAAGCGAAAGCAUGGGGAGCGAACAGG